GGAGAGGAAGUUCUGAGGAAGCAUCUAGGCCUCCCAUUAACUCCAGCCCACUCUCCAACCCCAGGGACCCCAAGAGCCAGGCCAAUGGGGACAUCCGGGGAGUCAGUGAGGGCAGCCUCUAGGACAGGGUGAUUUCUGCCCUGCUCCCAGGAUCCCUCAGGGUAUAAAGUGAGUGAGUGUGGGUGCCUUUCCUUGCCUGUGUGUAUGAAGGUCUGUGUCUGUGUGUGGCCCUAUGGGCCCCCACUCUGCCCACCCCCAUGUCUGGCACCCCAUGCUUGGCAUCCAUGCCAGGCUCUGCUGGCACAGGGAAGUGGUGCCAGUACCUCACUGCCAGGCCUUGUGCUGAGGUCAGUAGGUCAGCCUGUGGUACAGGGGGUCCCUACUUCUUCUGAACCCUUGCCCAGUGCCUCAUCUAUGCCCACACUAGGUCCUGGAGGGGUCAUGGACCCCUCCCAAUUAUGUUGCCCAUUCUCUAUCUUAGAUGCUCAGGUUCUGUGCCAGGGCUUCAAGGCAAUGCCUCCUCGAAGCCUUCUCUGCCACCCAGGCAUGGCCCCCUGGUGAGCCAGGGGCAUCUCAAGGAGGAGCAGGGAGACACUCACUUAAGAGGUCCUUUCCAGAGCCACUGCUGAGCUUCUACUUCUUCCUCCUCCUACUAAAUGAGGAAACAAAAAGAUACACCAAAGAGCAAGCGAAACUGUUCCCAGGGAGCACAUGCAGGGCCAGCGCCAAGAGGGCAGCUUUGACUGAACUGCCAUGGAAAUCCUUAUCAGCACAGGAUACCUUUCCCCAUCUGCCUUUCUGCAUAUUAGAUAACACAUGUAGUAAAUACAAGCCUUCAUUUUUCUAAGAAACAUAAAAUAAAAACUGAAUUACUGCCAGAGAAGCUUUAAAAUCAUUAGUUCCUAGGACACUGUGGGCACAUUCUCCACACACCAUCAUUUUCAUGUCAUUUGCCUCCAAGGGAUAGCCCUGCAUCAGCUCUGUUGCAUAAGGUGCUGCUUCCAAACACCUUGUUCCUGACUGGAGACACAGAAUAAGUUUUAUCUAGGUCUGCAAGAGUUCUGGAGGGGUGACAUCGUGUUCCAAGCUGUACCAGUUAGUGUCAACAGUAAGAAAGCUGCCAGAGUCUUCUUACCAAGGAAGCUGAGAGAAUAUUGUAUACACCAAACAGCGCUCCUUUCUUAAAGCACAAAGUGGUCAUAAAAGCUACUCAAGAAGGGAAAAUUAAUAGGAGGAAAAUGUAUUCAAUGCAGUGAAGGAAAAAAAAAAUCUUUACAAGGGACGUGGAAAUAACAAAUUUACUAUGAUGAAGGGACGGUAGUAUAGGAAAGUCCAUUUUUACACCAAAAAUAAUUCAACAGGUAUUAUUUACAAAAGGCUUCACAAAAGAAUUCCUGUUAAGUAACACUAUCUUUUCAUUUGUUUGUUCC
ensembl:lncRNA